rnacentral:rRNA from 1 species
CCUACGGGUGGUAGCAGUGAGGAAUAUUGGUCAAUGGACGAGAGUCUGAACCAGCCAAGUAGCGUGAAGGAUGACUGCCCUAUGGGUGGUAAACUUCUUUUAUAUGGGAAUAAAAUGUUCCACGUGUGGGAUUUUGUAUGUACCAUAUGAAUAAGGAACGGCUAAGUCCGUGCCAGGAGCCGAGGUAAUGCGGAGGAUACGGGCGUUAUCCGGAUUUACUGGGGUGAAAGGGAGCGGAGGAGGAUUUUUAAGUCAGUUGUGAAAGGUUGCGGCUCAACCUGAACAUUGCAGUUGAAACUGGCAGUCUUGAGUACAGUAGAGGUGGGCAGAAUUCGUGGUGUAGCGGUGAAAUGCUUAGAUAUCUCGAAGAAUUCCGAUUGCGAAGGCAGUCCACUGGACUGCAACUGACACUGAGGCUCGAAAGUGUGGGUAUCAAACAGGAUUAGAUACCCUUGUAGUC